AUUGAACGCUGGCGGAAUGCUUUACACAUGCAAGUCGAACGGCAGCACGGGGCGACCUGGUGGCGAGUGGCGAACGGGUGAGUAAUACAUCGGAACGUGCCCAAUCGUGGGGGAUAACGUAGCGAAAGUUACGCUAAUACCGCAUACGAUCUACGGAUGAAAGCGGGGGAUCGCAAGACCUCGCGCGAUUGGAGCGGCCGAUAUCAGAUUAGCUAGUUGGUGGGGUAAAAGCUCACCAAGGCGACGAUCUGUAGCUGGUCUGAGAGGACGACCAGCCACACUGGAACUGAGACACGGUCCAGACUCCUACGGGAGGCAGCAGUGGGGAAUUUUGGACAAUGGGCGAAAGCCUGAUCCAGCAAUGCCGCGUGCAGGACGAAGGCCUUCGGGUUGUAACUGCUUUGUACGGACGAAAAGUACUGCCCUAAUACGGUGGGCGUCAUGACGGUACCGUAAGAAUAAGCACCGGCUAACUACGUGCCAGCAGCCGCGGUAA
rnacentral:rRNA from 1 species